CUCCACCGUAGGUGGAGGUGUGGAUGUAGGUGGUCUGUGUCUGUGUUGUGUUUCUACUGGUGUUACUGGUUCUGCUGGUGAGACGAUGUGUUCACAGGAAAUCUGAAGUAGAUCAAGAAGAAGCUGCAGAAGAUGACAUCAUCACUCAUGUCAUGUACUGCUACAUCAAAGCAUCAAAUUGUAAAGAACGGCCAAUCAGAAAACACAGAGGAAACAACAAACAUUAAACCACAGAAACAGCAGCAGCAUCAUUUAGUGUUGGAGAGAGAAGAGUUUCUGUCUUUGUCCUCUAAAUUACCCAGAAACCAACUGAUG